rnacentral:rRNA from 1 species
AUACGGAGGGGGCUAGCGUUGUUCGGAAUUACUGGGCGUAAAGCGCGCGUAGGCGGACCGUUAAGUCGGGGGAGAAAUCCCGGGGCUCAACCCCGGAACUGCCUUCGAUACUGGCAGUCUAGAGAUCGAGAGAGGCGAGUGGAAUUCCGAGUGUAGAGGUGAAAUUCGUAGAUAUUCGGAGGAACACCAGUGGCGAAGGCGGCUCGCUGGCUCGACCCUGACGCUGAGGCGCGAAAGUGUGGGGAGCAAACAGGAUUAGAAACCCCAGUAGUCC